CCUACGGGGGGCUGCAGUGGGGAAUAUUGGACAAUGGGGGGAACCCUGAUCCAGCCAUGCCGCGUGUGUGAAGAAGGCCCUCGGGUUGUAAAGCACUUUCAGUGAGGAAGAACGCCUGGUGGUUAAUACCCAUCAGGAAAGACAUCACUCACAGAAGAAGCACCGGCUAACUCCGUGCCAGCAGCCGCGGUAAUACGGAGGGUGCGAGCGUUAAUCGGAAUUACUGGGCGUAAAGCGCGCGUAGGUGGCUUGAUAAGCCGGUUGUGAAAGCCCCGGGCUCAACCUGGGAACGGCAUCCGGAACUGUCAAGCUAGAGUGCAGGAGAGGAAGGUAGAAUUCCCGGUGUAGCGGUGAAAUGCGGAGAGAUCGGGAGGAAUACCAGUGGCGAAGGCGGCCUUCUGGACUGACACUGACACUGAGGUGCGAAAGCGUGGGUAGCAAACAGGAUUAGAUACCCGAGUAGUC
rnacentral:rRNA from 1 species